ACGCAACCCAUGGGCCUUGACAACCAAUCAAACCCGACCGGAAACCCGGUUGGGUUAAUUGCGUUUGGGUAGCCCUACUUCCGUACCUCCACCUAUCCAAAAACCGCGGUUCCACUUCCACCCUCUCCUUCGCGCCAAACGAAAACAUUCGUCUCGCGCCAAAGUACGGAAACGUCUGCUCUCUCUCUCUGAGAUGAGCACUCGCAAAACCCUUGUUCUCACAUCCCUCUCUUCCUUCAAAGGGGGAGUUGCUAGAAGAAGACGAAGAGGAAUAACCCAAUUCAUCUCUCUCCAAUACUUCCCAUCCAUCCCUCCAACUCUCUGCUUCCGAUCUCUUCCCUUUCGAAACCAGUCUCCUUCCUUCUCCAUCCCCUCCUUCUCUUUCUCCCACGCAGCAGCCCCCAAAGAAUCCUCCUCCGAAGACCACUCCUCGUCAAAGGACACUGUCGAGGAGCUGCUCGCCAAUGCCGAUGACGUCAACCGUCUUAUGAAGAUGGAGAGGAUAUCCGAAACGGACUGCCGAUAUGAUUUUGCGGCCACUCCCGUGAAGGGACGACGUUGGUUCCCCUACCUGGACAUGUUCCGAUCGGGGAACACGUGGCUGACGAGCGGAGAAGUGAUAGAUGCGCUGGACCCGUAUAUAAUGGAUGUGAGGAAGGAGAGGAUUCGGACGGUGGUGGAGAACAGGACCUACUCUGUGUGCUUGGUGGUUGAGGGCCUGGUCGAUUUCGGAAACGUGUCGGCCGUGUUCCGGUCUGCCGAUGCUCUAGGAUUUCAGUCUGUCCACGUAGUCUCAUGCGACAGCACGAAAAGGUAUAGAGACAAUCGUCAUGUUAGCAUGGGUGCUGAGAAAUGGUUGGAUAUUGAACUUUGGCAGUCCACUCGAGAGUGCUUCAAGGCGUUGAAAUCACGUGGUUACCGCAUUGCCACGACACACUUGGGAACUAAUGUGGUUUCAGUUUAUGACAUGGACUGGUCAUGUCCAACUGCAAUAGUUGUCGGAAACGAACACAGUGGCAUAAGUGACGAGGCCCUGGAACUGUCUGACUUGCAUUGUAGCAUUCCUAUGAAAGGGAUGGUGGACUCUUUCAACGUUUCAGUUGCUGCAGGCAUCCUCAUGCACCAUGCAGUUUGUGAUAGAGUGUCUCGGCUGGGUUCCCAUGGUGAUCUGACACUUGAAGAAUCCCAGAUCCUACUCGCAGAGUUCUCUUUGCGUCACAGCAAAAGUGCAAUCAGCAUUGCCCAUGAGUAUGCAAAGCGUAAGUUGGAGAAUCCCAUUUCUAAGCAUUGACUAGAUUUGGCAGUGUGAUCCACAAACCUAGUUCUGAAGAUGUCAGAUGUUCAUCUACAGCUAUGGAGCAUCAUGCAGGUAAGCUGCUGUGGAGUGCAAAAAUCCUGACCCUUCCUGGUUGAGAAAUUGCAGAUGAACUCAAGCACGCCACAUAUUGAUGCUAACUAUGAAAAGUCAAAUCAAGAGGCGUGAUAUCAUUGAUUUGGCUUUUAUUUUGAUUAAAUUAGAUUAUGGAUCAAUAGAUAGCUUUGUUCAAAGGACGUGUGUCAAAAAAACGAGUUACAGCAAUCUUUGCUGUAGAUUCAUCUGAAAAAUUUUCAUCUUCUUGCUUUGCCUUAAUUUAUUCUUCACUUCCUAUGGCAA